rnacentral:rRNA from 1 species
CCCUUAGAUGUUCUGGGCCGCACGCGCGCUACACUGAUGCAUUCAACGAGUCUAAAACCUGGUCUGAGAGGGCUGGGUAAUCUUUUGAAAGUGCAUCGUGAUUGGGAUAGAUGAUUGCAAUUCUUCAUCCUCAACGAGGAAUGCCUAGUAAACGCAAGUCAUCAGCUUGCAUUGAUUACGUCCCUGCCCUUUGUACACACCGCCCGUCGCUCCUACCGAUUGAACGAUCCGAUGAAAACUGUGGAUUGAGAGUCUGAGUGGGUUCGCCUACCUCAACUUUCGAGAAGCGGUUUAAAUCUUAUCGUUUAGAGGAAGGAGAAGUCGUAACA